rnacentral:rRNA from 1 species
UACGGAGGGUGCAAGCGUUAUCCGGAUUUACUGGGCUUAAAGGGUGCGCAGGCGGAUAUGUAAGUCAGUGGUGAAAUCUCUAGGCUUAACCUGGAAAUUGCCGUUGAUACUAUAUGUCUUGAAUGCUGUAGAGGUAAGCGGAAUAUGUCAUGUAGCGGUGAAAUGCUUAGAUAUGACAUAGAACACCUAUUGCGAAGGCAGCUUACUACGCAGAUAUUGACGCUCAUGCACGAAAGCGUGGGGAUCAAACAGG